GUUUACAGUCUGGUUAGAGUUAGGCACCAAAACUACUGAGUUAAGUUUAUGAAAAGUUGGAGAUUUGGGUUCAAAUCCGACGGUACUUCACUUCCUGAAGGUAACCACGGUCACGCAGACCGCGCCGUAGCUCUG